GGCAUUCAUUACAGACACCCACAAGCAACACAUAACAACACACCCAAUUAGUGAGGUAGAAGAAUUCAGAACACUAGCACUUUUAUUAUUCAACAAAAAGGAUAUACUGAGGUGAGGCGCGUUUGCCAUUCGACACAGCACUACGAGGCUUCGAAACAAGAUUCUACCGCCGACUCACACAUUCUGCCGGCCUCUCGGUCCCCGGCGAGGCUGUGAGAAGGGAGGCAGUGUGUCUUCGCCUUCCUCUCUGCAUCCUUCAGAGCUGUCCCAGUAUAUACAUCCCAUCUAUUAUAUUAUUUAAAGGCACGGAAUCGAUCCACGGAACGCCCUCACUCAGGCCAGCCGGCUUCACAGCGUCCACACCUCACACCUCACCUGAUCGUCACGUUUGUCUGUCCUGCGAUCCUGUCUAUUGCAUUAUCCAGCGCUCUUUAAGCUAGUAAUCAUUCUGGGAUGGAGGAGGAGGACCACGGGAUAGAAGACGACUAUAAACAGAGAAGCAGAGACGCAGUAAAGUUCCCUUCCACUUCUUGUAAAGCUCUCCUGCUUCUCACCGCUCGCAUGCUGAGAAGCAGACAAGCUAUCACCAGUAGCGUCACAAGGCAGAGGAACAACCUGCAUGUGCAACGCACCAACACACUAUCUGGUGAUAAGCAUACGGACGUAAUUGGAGCCAGACUGUGGAAUGCUCUUCCGCCUUCCCUCACGCAGGAAACAAUAAUAACUUCUUUUAAGGCUACAUUUAAAGAAUUUCUUUUAACCGAAGAUGUUCUUAGUUAGCGGGUUUCCAAUGUUGAUGAUGCGGCGUUGUGCAGGUGUCAAGUAAGCGACCACUGGUGUGGAAACAAGGCACAAGUCCACGCUCAACUCCGUGAAAGGGACGAACACGCACUCCUUACACACCUUGCACUAUCUCGAACUUCCACCCAUCAUCUAACAAGUUUGCCGAGGACACGAGUGCAGGCUCCGAGUGGGAUGUCGACGGCACAGCUUGUCCAGGAAUUUCUCUCGUGUAUCUUAAAGGCUUUAGGCGUUUGUAUAGAAAGAAAAAGGCUAAGGAAAGAGGAGAGAGAGAAGCACUGAUGUGACGAACGUUAUAGAAAAGUAAGAGGAUGUGAGGGAUGUUGAGAGGAGCAUUGAUGUGAGGCAUGUUAGGAGAAAAGGCUUGAGGAUGUGUGAGGGAUGUUGAGAGAAGCAUUGAUGGGGAGGGAGGGGAGUGCUAAAUAGGAUAAACACGAGGAAAUGUUUAGAACGAGCUACGUAUGAGGAAGGAUAAAAAGGGAAGGAAGGUGUAAAAGGAGUGGAUGAUGAUAGAUAGGUAAGGAGCAGCUACGUAUGAAGUUGUAGUACCAGGAGGAGAGACGUAUAAAGUCUAAAAGGAGUUGUAGAUAGGUAAGAUAUGGGAUGGGCUAUAUAUAUAAUAGAUAUAUUUUGUAGAGGAAAAUAAUAAUAAUGUAACGAUGACACAGAUAAGGGGAGGGACAUAGGAGGCAGAGAAUAUAUAUAUAUAUAUAUGUAAGGAUGUU